GUAGGUGGCAAGCGUUGUCCGGAAUUAUUGGGCGUAAAGCGCGCGCAGGCGGUCCUUUAAGUCUGAUGUGAAAGCCCACGGCUCAACCGUGGAGGGUCAUUGGAAACUGGGGGACUUGAGUACAGAAGAGGAAAGCGGAAUUCCAAGUGCAGCGGUGAAAUGCGUAGAGAUUUGGAGGAACACCAGUGGCGAAGGCGGCUUUCUGGUCUGUAACUGACGCUGAGGCGCGAAAGCGUGGGGAGCAAACAGGGAUUAGAUACCCUGGUAGUCCACGCCGUAAACGAUGAGUGCUAAGUGUUAGGGGGUUUCCCGCCCCUUAGUGCUGCAGCUAACGCAUUAAGCACUCCGCCUGGGGAGUACGGCCGCAAGGCUA
rnacentral:rRNA from 1 species